UACGGAGGGUGCGAGCGUUGUCCGGAAUCACUGGGCGUAAAGGGCGCGUAGGCGGCCUGAUAAGUAGGGGGUGAAAUCCUGCGGCUUAACCGCAGGGCUGCCUUCUAAACUGUCAGGCUGGAGCACAGUAGAGGCAGGUGGAAUUCCCGGUGUAGCGGUGGAAUGCGUAGAGAUCGGGAAGAACAUCAGUGGCGAAGGCGGCCUGCUGGGCUGUUGCUGACGCUGAGGCGCGACGCGUGGGGAGCAAACAGG
rnacentral:rRNA from 1 species